rnacentral:rRNA from 1 species
UACAGAGACUGCAAGCGUUAUUCGGAUUCACUGGGCGUAAAGGGUGCGCAGGCGGUUGUGUGUGUCAGGUGUGAAAGCCCGGGGCUUAACCCCGGAAUUGCGCCUGAAACUACAUGACUAGAGCAUUGGAGAGGGUAGCGGAAUUCACGGUGUAGCAGUGAAAUGCGUAGAUAUCGUGAGGAACACCAGAGGCGAAGGCGGCUACCUGGACAAUUGCUGACGCUCAGGCACGAAAAGCGUGGGGGAGCAAAAAGGGG